rnacentral:rRNA from 1 species
UACGAAGGGGGCUAGCGUUGCUCGGAAUCACUGGGCGUAAAGCGCACGUAGGCGGCUGUUCAAGUCGGGGGUGAAAGCCUGUGGCUCAACCACAGAAUUGCCUUCGAUACUGGACGGCUCGAGACCGGAAGAGGUCAGUGGAACUGCGAGUGUAGAGGUGAAAUUCGUAGAUAUUCGCAAGAACACCAGUGGCGAAGGCGGCUGACUGGUCCGGUUCUGACGCUGAGGCGCGAAAGCGUGGGGAGCAAACAGG